rnacentral:rRNA from 1 species
GGGGAAUAUUGGACAAUGGGGGCAACCCUGAUCCAGCCAUGCCGCGUGUGUGAAGAAGGCUUUCGGGUUGUAAAGCACUUUCAGCGAGGAGGAAGGCCUUAAAGUUAAUACCUUUAAGGAUUGACGUUACUCGCAGAAGAAGCACCGGCUAACUCCGUGCCAGCAGCCGCGGUAAUACGGAGGGUGCAAGCGUUAAUCGGAAUUACUGGGCGUAAAGCGCGCGUAGGUGGUUUGGUAAGCGAGAUGUGAAAGCCCCGGGCUUAACCUGGGAACGGCAUUUCGAACUGUCAGACUAGAGUGUGGUAGAGGGUAGUGGAAUUUCCUGUGUAGCGGUGAAAUGCGUAGAUAUAGGAAGGAACACCAGUGGCGAAGGCGGCUACCUGGACCAACACUGACACUGAGGUGCGAAAGCGUGGGGAGCAAACAGG